rnacentral:tRNA from 1 species
AUAGCUCAGUUGGUAGAGCAUGAGACUCUUAAUCUCAGGGUUAUGGGCCAAGCCCCCUUCCA